UACGGAGGAUCCAAGCGUUAUCCGGAUUUAUUGGGUUUAAAGGGUGCGUAGGUGGCUUUUUAAGUCAGGGGUGAAAGACGGUAGCUCAACUAUCGCAGUGCCCUUGAUACUGAUGGGCUUGAAUGAACUAGAGGUAGGCGGAAUGUGACAAGUAGCGGUGAAAUGCAUAGAUAUGUCACAGAACACCAAUUGCGAAGGCAGCUUACUAUGGUUUUAUUGACACUGAGGCACGAAAGCGUGGGGAUCAAACAGG
rnacentral:rRNA from 1 species